CCUACGGGUGGCAGCAGUGAGGAAUAUUGGUCAAUGGCCGGAAGGCUGAACCAGCCAAGCCGCGUGAGGGAGGAAGGCGCAGAGCGUCGCAGACCUCUUUUGCCGGGGGACAAAAGGCCGGACUCGUCCGCUCCGGAAGUUACCCGGAGAAAAAGCAUCGGCUAACUCCGUGCCAGCAGCCGCGGUAAUACGGAGGAUGCGAGCGUUAUCCGGAUUCAUUGGGUUUAAGGGGUGCGCAGGCGGGCCUUUAAGCCGGCGGUGAAUUCGCGGGGCUCAACCCCGCCGAGCCGUUGAAACUGGGGGUCUUGAGUGCGGCGGAGGGAUGCGGAAUGCGCGGUGUAGCGGUGAAAUGCAUAGAUAUCGCGCAGAACCCCGAUUGCGAAGGCAGCGUGCCGGGCCGCAACUGACGCUGAGGCACGAAAGCGUGGGGAUCGAACAGGAUUAGAUACCCGAGUAGUC
rnacentral:rRNA from 1 species